AUGAACGCUGGCGGCGUGCCUCAUCCAUGCAAGUCGAGCGAACGGACGAGAAGCUUGCUUCUCUGAUGUUAGCGGCGGACGGGUGAGUAACACGUGGAUAACCUACCUAUAAGACUGGGAUAACUUCGGGAAACCGGAGCUAAUACCGGAUAUAUUUUGAACCGCAUGGUUCAAAAGUGAAAGACGGUCUUGCUGUCACUUAUAGAUGGAUCCGCGCUGCAUUAGCUAGUUGGUAAGGUAACGGCUUACCAAGGCAACGAUGCAUAGCCGACCUGAGAGGGUGAUCGGCCACACUGGAACUGAGACACGGUCCAGACUCCUACGGGAGGCAGCAGUAGGGAAUCUUCCGCAAUGGGCGAAAGCCUGACGGAGCAACGCCGCGUGAGUGAUGAAGGUCUUCGGAUCGUAAAACUCUGUUAUUAGGGAAGAACAUAUGUGUAAGUAACUGUGCACAUCUUGACGGUACCUAAUCAGAAAGCCACGGCUAACUACGUG
rnacentral:rRNA from 1 species